GAAAAAUCCAUUCAGUCACUUAUGGCCUCCCUGUAAGGUUGAUAACCUACAUCCAGAGAUACAAGAUAAUGUCAUCUACCGUGAAGUGGACUGCUCUGUGUGAAUUGUCUACCAUGUAGGAAAAGAACCAACUAUUUCAGAAGUCAGAAGGAUGAGGAGCACUACUAACAGCGCUACUAAGUCGAAACCUUGGAGGCAUUUCCAGGUUAUACAUGAAGAGCUGAGAUUCUCCUCUGAGAAGAUUCCUUUGUGUCUGGCUAUGGCCAUUACAGACACAUGCAAGUCUUAAUACCUUCCCCCUGAUAAAUCCAUGGAAGAGCCAUAGAGCCACACCCCAGGCAUUCAGCUUCUCAUCCUUCCUGAACAGCU